GGUAACGAACGUGGAGUAACCUGGCCUUACUACUGGGGGAGUAACAGCCAGAAAUAGCUGCUAAUACGCAUAAGCGCACGGCGCCGCAUGGCGCAGUGUGAAAAACUACCGGUGGUAUAAGAUGGAUCCGCGCCUGAUUAGCUAGUUGGCGGGGGCAGCGGCCCACCAAGGCGACGAUCAGUAGCCGGCCUGAGAGGGCGACCGGCCACAUUGGGACUGAGACACGGCCCAAACUCCUACGGGAGGCAGCAGUGGGGGAAUAUUGCACAAUGGGGGGAACCCUGAUGCAGCGACGCCGCGUGAGUGAAGAAGUAUUUCGGUAUGUAAAGCUCUAUCAGCAGGGAAGAAGAUGACGGUACCUGACUAAGAAGCCCCGGCUAACUACGUG
rnacentral:rRNA from 1 species